CUUCCGAUAAGGAGUAGGGCAGUUACAUUUGUACAGUAAGCCUGGCCAUAUUGUUUUGAGUGUAAAGACUGCAGGUUACAAGCUUAGUAAAGUGUUGCUAAUAUUAUUAAUACAGAGUCGGACGUUUACUGUGUGAUGACAUGUGUGUCGUGUGGUGUAAUAAGUGAAGUGUCACAGGUUUCAUAUAAUACAGUAUCGGAACUCAAUUUCUUUUGUUCAAUACUGCUAGCUACAGUAAUGUUUCCAGCGAGCUCUACCAGAUUCUCAGAAACAGCCGAUGUCCGUAGAACUAGUUCAGAAGUGUGUGAAGGAAGUUUAAAGACGCAGAGUUACCAUGGGAACGAGGGCGAGAGAGGGGGUCGAAUGGUGUAAGUGCGAAAGCUGCCAGAUAAAUUGCUAGGUUACGAGCCGAAUGCAAACAAGUCGCAGGCGGCAGGGAAAGGACAGUUCUCGACUUUGCAGUCCAGAAAUUCAAGCGAAGACUCAGAGUCGAUCGUCCAUGGACUUUGAAAGUCGUUUAAUUUUAUUCUGUGAAUACAGAAAACUCGUAAAUCAAAUAUAAAAUUCUGAAUUACAUUUCCUUCGUUGCUUGCGCGUUGGAUGGUAUAACAAAACGUAUUGUACCAAAGUAAUAAAAUAAUUUUAAGCUA